rnacentral:tRNA from 1 species
GGCGCUAUAGCCAAGUGGUUACGGCGACAGAUUCGAACGUGCAAAGCAUAUCUGUUCCUCUUUGAGGGCGCAGGUUCAAAUCCUGCUGGCGUCG